GGCAUCCGUCUCAGCUACCUGCACCCGGCGUGGGACGUGCGGCGUUUCCUGCGCUAUGUGUACGGCAUGCCCAUAAUCGUGUACAUCAGCUUCUUCGUUCUCGGCCUCUUUUUCUUUCCGCUGAUGCUGGGCCACUUAUACAUGACGUGCCGCGGCCUGACGACUGCCGAGAUGCUCAAGCAAAAGUGGAAGAGGUCCGAGUACUUUGGUGGCAUCAAUCCCUGGUCACAGAAGCACUGGUACCAGAACAUCUACGCCCGUCUGCUUCAGCGCUGGCCGGCGGCGCAGGAGGACCCGCUGCGUUGGCUGAACUCGCGCUACUACUACGGCGUCACCGUCGCCGCGGCGGUGGAGGAUCAGAAGGUAGACUGGCUUCUCGCUCUGCCACCAGAAGAGCGGAAGAAGGUGGAGGAGAACGACGCUGCUGCACGAGAGGCUGGCGCGAAGAUACGGGAGGAGCAGGAAGCGGAGAUUGUGCGGGCAGCCAUGGAGAAGCGCGGCUUUCACGUUGCGUGACGCCGUGGACGCUGACAACAACGCCGGAAUCAGUGCGGAGGAAAGCUCUUGUCAGGGAUUCGAGAGCGCGGGAUUCGAGUGCCUUCUACCACCAUAGCUGGAGGGCGCUCGCGUUACCGUUCUCGCCAUUUGUGCGUUGCUUGGAUUUCUCCUUGUGCGGAGUCGAGCUUAUCUAGAGGCGCGGCUGUUUCGCUGCGGCAGAUAUCUGAGCCGCGACGAGACGGAAACAUUUGAGGAGGGGAGGGGCGGAGGGGCGGAGGGGCAAGGAGCGGCGCCACCUGGAUGCUGGUCCGGCCUUUCCCCCUCCCCCGCUUCCAUCCUCCCUCUCUGUAUUUCUUCUGCUCCAUAUUAGCUGCUUUUAAUGUGCGUUUUCUUUUUUUUCGUGGAGGCUUUCCUGACUUCCACGUGCAUACACGUCAUCGCAUGGUGCAUGCGUAUGUAGUAUGUGCGCAUGUAGGUACUCUUUUUUUUCAAAUUGGCCAGGCCGCGUUUCGCCUCCCCACCCUUCGCUUCUUUUUCAGUUUCGUUAUCGGCUUCUCACACAUGUUUCCACAGCGCACUCCUACCUUGUGUUUUUCAUUUUUUUCGAAAGCCCGUGACAGGUCGGCCGUCCUCGUUGUUGUUGUCGCACCUCCUUUUCGCUUCCUUACCUUCUGUCUCACUGCGCAGCCGUUUCGUUUCGCCCGCGUACAUGUGCAUGUACGCCCGCAUCGGUUCCAUGCGGCUCCUCACUUCAUGCCGUCUUUUGUGUGUGUCCCCCCUUUUUUGUGGUUCCGAGCACUCCGCUCUCGCGUGCCUGCAGAUGGUGUUUUGUGUUAUAGGGGAGGCCUGCCUCACCUCUCCCCUUCCCGGUCCAUCUUAUAUAUAUUGCUGGUUUUCCUCCACGGUUGCAGCACAAAGAAGGAAAGACAAACCAGCCGCAGCCAUUGAUUAGGGUGAUGAUGAUAGGAGCGCACCACAUCGACAGCGUCGAUAUGCCUGAUGCGCCCCCCCCUUUCCCUCUUUCACACACACACACACACACACACACACACACACACAUACACACACACGCUACAGCGGCGAAGCGGGACCUUCGUUUUUUUUAUUUCGUUUAACCUUUCUUUCCUGCUCGUGCUAAGAUAGUCGUGGUGUUCUUUACGACAUUGCCCCGGUGUUGGACUUCCCAUGUCGUGGCUCUUUCAGGAUCUGUUUCUCUCUAUCUUUGGCUCAUGUGUACAUCACUUCAUCGCCAUCAUGUGUCUUACUGCUUUCUCCCUCCUCGUCUCACCUGACCCUUUUUUUCGCCUUUUCGUUUGUUUUUCUCUUUUUGGUUUGCCAUACUUAUGUUGUGCAUUCCAUCCACGACAUCAGAUGGCCAUCUCGCGUUGCCUUCUCUGUGCCCUUCGGUCGUUCUCCAUUGUUGUCAUGUAUGUUUCUAAUCAGGCGCGUCAUCUUGUGCGGUCGACGUCGUGCACGGGCAUUUAAUCCAGCCGAAG
rnacentral:misc_RNA from 1 species